AGGACGAACGCUGGCGGCGUGCCUAACACAUGCAAGUCGAACGCGCUCCAUUCGGUAGCAAUACUGAUGAAGAGCGAGUGGCGAACGGGUGAGUAGCACGUGAGCAACCUGCCCCGAAGACUGGGACAACACCGGGAAACCGGUGCUAAUACCGGAUAUCCCUAUUGGAUCGCAUGAUCCGAUAAGGAAAUGUUUUUCGCUUCGGGAGGGGCUCGCGGCCUAUCAGCUAGUUGGUGGGUAACGGCCCACCAAGGCAUCGACGGGUAGCUGGUCUGAGAGGACGAUCAGCCACACUGGGACUGAGACACGGCCCAGACUCCUACGGGAGGCAGCAGUGGGGAAUCUUGCGCAAUGGGCGAAAGCCUGACGCAGCAACGCCGCGUGGAGGACGAAGGCUUUCUGAGUUGUAAACUCCUUUCAGCAGGGCGAUUGUGACGGUACCUGCAGAAGAAGCACCGGCCAACUACGUGCCAGCAGCCG
rnacentral:rRNA from 1 species